UACGGAGGGGGCUAGCGUUGUUCGGAAUUACUGGGCGUAAAGCGCACGUAGGCGGCUUUGUAAGUUAGAGGUGAAAGCCCAGGGCUCAACCCUGGAAUUGCCUUUAAGACUGCAUCGCUUGAGCAUCGGAGAGGUAAGUGGAAUUCCGAGUGUAGAGGUGAAAUUCGUAGAUAUUCGGAAGAACACCAGUGGCGAAGGCGGGUCUCUGGACAGUUCCUGACACUGAGGCACGAAGGCCAGGGGAGCAAACGGG
rnacentral:rRNA from 1 species